CUCCACAGCUACUGGUCUGGAACUGUUCAGAACUGUAGCAGUUGCAGUAUUCCCUCUGUGGAAAAUAAACUGUUACACGGCAUUAAGCUCCUUCUCAGACUCUCUGAAAAAGGACUUCCUAUGUAACAAACAAUG
rnacentral:snoRNA from 1 species